ensembl:lncRNA
CUGCCUCUGCCUCUUGAGUUUUGGGUUAAACCAGCUUUGUUUUUAUACUUAGUGUUUUGUUUUGCUUUUUUUUCUUGUUUGCACGGUGGCUGAUGUGGUAUUCACAUGGCAGCCCAUGCUGGUUCUUGAGGGCGUGGUCAGGGGACGUAGGGUGACUGCGUUUGUGCUUUUGCUUUCACUUUGCUUCUUGCUGUACAGACUGCUGCCAUGCCGGCUGGCUAGGUCUCUCUGACAAACAGCUGCAGAAAGACACUGGACUAUGGAAAAAACUGCUGAACUCAAUCAGCCGGCAUACUUCAAAGAUGUACUAACUUCUGAAUGGAAACUAGGACAUGUGUUACGUUGGAGUCGGGGUUUUGCAUUGGUUUCUAAAGGAGAAGAAAAACUUUGGAUACCAUCAAAGUUGAUCAAGAUUCGAGUGGAAAAGGAAAAACCUGUCGACGAGGACAAAUGACAGGUAUUCUACUAAGGUAUAUCUUAUAAACUAAAUAGAAACCUCCCAAAGGAAAGGGAAGUGUUUUGCUUUUAUCUUCACAGGAAAACUCAUCUCCAGAAGGCAAAGGACAUUGCAUGGGUAGAUACUUGGGAAGAAAAGGUAGCCAUAACCAUCAAACAAAAGGAACGUGCCAUAUGGUAAACUUUACAGCUGUCUCUCAGAGAACUAUUUCUCUUUAUUUCCUAGUCCCUAUUCAAUUAAACCAAUGCUGGGUUUAGAGGUGGAUUUGGCUUUCCUCCUCUAAAAUCCAAGCACGUUAUUUAACUAAACUUUAGUGUUUCUGUGUUGUAUCAAGAAGCCAAUUGAUGUAAUACAGAAUAAAAGAAGAAUUUGGGGACUGUCUUUGUCUCUUCUUGGAUCUUUCUCUCCAGGUGUACACCCUUUCAUAAUUGUUAUGCUCUCAUGGUUGCAUUCCGCAGCAUGUGUACAUACACAAGCAAACAUUUCUCUGCUAAUUGUUUAUGUUUGAGUCCCACACAGCCAAUGAAGACCUGCCUGACAGCAAUCCCUGGACACCCUGGAAAGAAAUUGGGCCACACCUUCUCGACUGCACUGGAUCCAACUUGCUCCAUUUCAAUUGACACUCCGGCCAGAGGUUCGGGUACUGACUUCAAUCAAGUUGAGGAUUUCAAGCGAGAUCUUCAAUCAAGUGAAUCCCAUCUAACAUGGACUGGAUACAAUCCAUUCAAGACUUUCACUAUACUAACAUUUUCUUCCUACAGGACCCCACAUGACUAUCAUCGUUCCAUUUCAGCAGGAAUAACUUGGAGAAUGCUAUGCCCCCUUUCCCCAUUGUUGUCACUUAGGAUAGUGUAUAUACCUAAUUAGGAAUAGCUUCCUAUUGUUUAUGGUUGGGAUUGGAAGGAGGUGUUCAGGCUUGAACAACUCUUUCAGAUGACUUUAGGGUUUAGUUAAAAUAGAUACUUAGGAUGUGACAUAAGCAGAUUGUUGUAUCUUCUUAUAUUUUACCUUUAUGAUUUUUAAUUUUGGAUACUUUAAACUGUUAAGUUUUAAUCCCCUUUUAGACUAAAAGGGGAAUUGUAGGGGAAUCUGUAGCCACGCCUGCUUAGGGGCUGGCUACAGGUGUGCCUGACCACGCCCUCACAAGCCUUCGAGGGUGUGGUCAGGGGAUGUAGGGUAACUGUGUUUGCACUUUCGCUUUCACUUUGCUUCUUGCUGUACAGACUGCUGCCACGCCGGCUGGCUAGGUCUCUCUGGUGGCUUGGGAGAUACAUGGCUGGUAUGAGGAUGGACAAACAGAAGAGGACUCACCACCACUCUUGCUGGGAAAGACUUUGUCACAUCAUGCAGUGUUGAAAGGGAUGAAAGCAAGAUGUGGUGUACACUUAACAUAACUCCAGCUCGGUGGAGGUGGACACUGGAUCCCUGCAGCUCUCUGGCCAGCUAACCUAACCUGUGGGCAAACUCCAUGCCAACAGAGACUGUAUUUCAACAACAACAACAAAAAAGAUCUUUUGGGAACCCCUGGACAGGGCUUUCCAAAAUGGGCUGCGAUGAACCUCUAGACUCCAGGUUUCAAUCUGUGGCAAGCUCUGAGUCCUGCUCAAUCCCAGCUAUAGCACCCAAGCGUCAAGUCCUCUCGGGUUUCCGGUGUAAC